GGUCAGUCUGUGUGUGUAUGGGUGUGGGGAGGAGUGUCAGUCUUUGUUUAUGGGGAAAAGUCUGUGUGUGUAGGUGGGGGGGGGUUCAGUCUGUGUGUGUAUGGGUCAGUCUGUGUGUGGGGGCAGGGACGGCCUUAGGGGUGUGCAAGCUGUGAGGCUGCACAGGGCGCCAUGGAGCAGGGGGAGCCAUGUGGGCGUCACAGCUCGCACAUGGCCGGGUGACAGAAGUGCAGGGAAGCAAAAAAAAUGGAGGCAGCGGGGGUGGGGCUUAUCA